AACGCGAAGAACCUUACCUAAGCUUGACAUCCUGCUGACCCUUCCCUAAUCGGAAGUUUCCCUUCGGGGACAGUAGAGACAGGUGGUGCAUGGUUGUCGUCAGCUCGUGUCGUGAGAUGUUGGGUUAAGUCCCGCAACGAGCGCAACCCUUGCCUUUAGUUGCCAUCAUUAAGUUGGGCACUCUAGAGGGACUGCCAGGGAUAACCUGGAGGAAGGUGGGGAUGACGUCAAAUCAUCAUGCCCCUUAUGCUUAGGGCUACACACGUGCUACAAUGGGUGGUACAGAGGGCAGCGAAGCCGUGAGGUGAAGCAAAUCUCUUAAAGCCAUUCUCAGUUCGGAUUGUAGGCUGAAACUCGCCUACAUGAAGCUGGAGUUACUAGUAAUCGCAGAUCAGAAUGCUGCGGUGAAUGCGUUCCCGGGUCUUGUACACACCG
rnacentral:rRNA from 1 species